GAUGAACGCUGGCGGCGUACCUAAGACAUGCAAGUCGAGCGAACUGACGAGAAGCUUGCUUAUCUGAAGUUAGCGACGGACGGAUGAGUAACACGUGGAUAACCUACCUAUAAAACUGAGAGAACUUAGGGAAACCGAAGCUAGUACCUACUAAUAAUGUGAAAGGCAUGAUUCAAAAAUGAAAGACAGGCUUGCUGUCACUAAUAGAUGGAUCCGCGCUGCAUUAGCUAGUUGGUAAGGUAACGGCUUACCAAGGCAACGAUGCAUAGCCGACCUGAGAGGGUGAUCGGUCACACUGGAACUGAGACACGCUCCAGACUCCUAAGGGAGGCACGAGUAGGGAAUCUUCCGCAAUGGGCGAACGCGUGAAGGAGCUACGCCGCGUGAGUGAUGCAGGUCUUCGGCUCGUAAAACUCUGUUAUUUGGGAAGUACAUAUGUGUAAGUAACUGGGAACAUCUUGACGGUACCUAAUCAGAAAGCCACGGCUAACUACGUG
rnacentral:rRNA from 1 species